CCUACGGGUGGCAGCAGUGGGGAAUAUUGCACAAUGGGGGAAACCCUGAUGCAGCAACGCCGCGUGAAGGAAGACGGUUUUCUGAUUGUAAACUCCUUUUCUCAGUGAAGAAUCAUGACGGUAGCUAUGGAGAAAGCUCCGGCUAACUACGUGCCAGCAGCCGCGGUAAUACGUAGGUGGCAAGCGUUGUCCGUAAUUACUGGGUGUAAAGGGAGCGCAGGCGGGAAGCCAAGUUAGAUGUGAAAACUACGGGCUUAACGUGUAGACUGUAGUUGAAACUGGGUUUCUUGAGUGAAGUAGAGGUAGGCGGAAUUCCGAGUGUAGCGGUGAAAGGCGUAGAUAUUAGGAGGAACACCAGUGGCGAAGGCGGCCAGCUGGGCUUUAACUGACGCUGAGGCGCGAAAGUGUGGGGAGCAAACAGGAUUAGAUACCCCAGUAGUC
rnacentral:rRNA from 1 species